CAUCACCUGGCUCCCCCACUCAUUAACAAACAACAUCUGUGCGUGUUUUGAUGCCUUUCUGUUUAGAAUAACUGUGCAUUAUAAGGAGAAAGAGGCACCUGAUCACCACACACUUCUUGGAUUUUUAGUUAACCUAUCACCUUAACAGUUGGACAGCUGGUGGACGUUUUCAAGAAUGGCAAUUUUCUUCUUGCUGUUGACCACAGGGAAUGAGGAUUUCAGGAGGCCAACAAAUUUUUGCUUUCCUAGUGAGAAGACUAAGAAUGGCUUUCAACCUGGGACUGGCAGAGCAGGGCUGACAGUCACUGUCACAGUAACCAGAGGAGAGAAGCACAGAUGGUCCUGAAAUCCUGGGGGGUACCUUUUGAAGAAAUGGCCUUUGAAUUUAUUCUGGGGAAACACCUUUUUAUGAUAUUGCACUGUGAUCUGUCACACUGGGAAAAGCUGUUGAAUGCAGCUCAAACCUAGAAUGCUUCAAAAUAUUUUUAAAAGCCCUAAUAAUUCAUCUUAUGAAGUACUCCAACAACCAAAACUUGAGGAUACUCUAAUUUUCCCUGAUGGGUAUCAUGGUUUAGUUUAAUUCAUGUGAUCAAAGCUGGCCCUGCAUAUUUGAGCCAAAGGAAAAUAUCCAUAUGCCCAAAAUAAAGCCUUUGCUCUAUCCA
rnacentral:lncRNA from 1 species